UAAACAGAUUGGACGAUUAGCAAUGUAAAGAAAUCUUUAGUCGGCUUUAAGCUCUCGUAGAAGAUAGUACUAAUCGCAAUACGUGGUGUCGAUUAAAGUGAUUUAAAAAUUUCUUAAAGGUUCGUUUCUGUUAUUAUGAUAUAAUUACCACUGUGACACUCGAACUUGGACACUUUUGGACAUAUUAGUGUAAAAUUAUAACUCCUUGAGGCAUUGUUUUGCACCGUUCCAUUAAAAGUUCAAAGUGUAUUUCACAAAUUUUCAAAGGACUUUUAUACUAUCCUCUCCUGUCAAGGACGAUGACUACGAGGGAUCGAAGUCAUGUAUGUACAUAAGUGGUAGUGGUUUUCGAGUUGAGACCCCCGAGACGGCACUUACACGGUCAGUCAAUUUGCGUAAUGAAGCAACGAAAGCUUGAACUAGUCGAGAGCCAAUUACGUUUGAGGAGAACUGCCAGUCGAACCUUUUGCUUGCUCCUGGAACCUUUUUGCCUGAAAAGUUUGACCAAAUGGUUUCCAGAAGAAAAGGCGAAGAUUUCAGUCUAAGGUUCGUCCGCACAUUAUAUUGCAGACCCUUGCAGUUCGUCCGCAGUUAUAUCGUGGUAGUGUUGGAAUAGGUGGUGUGCCGCCUGUGCAAUGGUGGUGGUAGGGUAAGCACAAACGAUACUCAUAGGGGUAACCAAACCCUUCCAACGAAAAGGGUCAUUAUCCUCGUGAUUACAAAUUUGUGGACCUGCCGAGGUAGCUUCGUUUAUGAUCGCAAAGCGGAAAGAGGAAAGAGGAUCAUCGAUGGACUAGAAACGGAUACGUUUUUACUGCGUGUCGUGAUAUACGUACGGACAAAGAAACAGACAGAGGGAGAGAGAGAGAGAGAGAGAGAGAGAGAGAAGGACAAAAUGAAAGACAAAGAGAGAAAGAGAGAAGGUCCGUAGUGGCUUUUGAAUGUGAGUAUUGUACGUUUUACCAAUGGAUUCCGAGAUAUAUUGUCUCUCGAAUGAGUGACGUCGUAUUGUGUGGUGUGCCAUACACGCGGGGUAGUCGUCGUUGUUGAUUGAAAAUGCAUGCAAUCGUCGCUUCGUGAAGAUCGUUCGGGUAUA